UGCAGUCGAGCGAGUCUGCCUUGAAGAUCGGAGUGCUUGCACUCUGUGAAACAAGAUACAGGCUAGCGGCGGACGGGUGAGUAACACGUGGGUAACCUGCCUAAGAGAUCGGGAUAACACCUGGAAACAGAUGCUAAUACCGGAUAACAACAGAUGAUGCCUAUCAACUGUUUAAAAGAUGGUUCUGCUAUCACUCUUGGAUGGACCUGCGGUGCAUUAGCUAGUUGGUAGGGUAACGGCCUACCAAGGCGAUGAUGCAUAGCCGAGUUGAGAGACUGAUCGGCCACAUUGGGACUGAGACACGGCCCAAACUCCUACGGGAGGCAGCAGUAGGGAAUCUUCCACAAUGGACGCAAGUCUGAUGGAGCAACGCCGCGUGAGUGAAGAAGGGUUUCGGCUCGUAAAGCUCUGUUGUUGGUGAAGAAGGACAGGGGUAGUAACUGACCUUUGUUUGACGGUAAUCAAUUAGAAAGUCACGGCUAACUACGUGCCAGCAGCCGCGGUAAUACGUAGGUGGCAAGCGUUGUCCGGAUUUAUUGGGCGUAAAGCGAGUGCAGGCGGCUCGAUAAGUCUGAUGUGAAAGCCUUCGGCUCAACCGGAGAAUUGCAUCAGAAACUGUCGAGCUUGAGUACAGAAGAGGAGAGUGGAACUCCAUGUGUAGCGGUGAAAUGCGUAGAUAUAUGGAAGAACACCGGUGGCGAAGGCGGCUCUCUGGUCUGUUACUGACGCUGAGGCUCGAAAGCAUGGGUAGCGAACAGGAUUAGAUACCCUGGUAGUCCAUGCCGUANACGAUGAGUGCUAAGUGUUGGGAGGUUUCCGCCUCUCAGUGCUGCAGCUAACUCAUUAAGCACUCCGCCUGGGGAGUACGACCGCAAGGUUGAAACUCAAAGGAAUUGACGGGGGCCCGCACAAAGCGUGGAGCAUGUGGUUUAAUU
rnacentral:rRNA from 1 species